UACGGAGGGUGCAAGCGUUGUCCGGAUUUAUUGGGUUUAAAGGGUACGUAGGCGGAUGCUUAAGUCAGUGGUGAAAGCCUGCGGCUUAACCGUAGGAUUGCCUCUGAUACUGAGUAUCUUGAGUGCGGUAGAGGUGGGCGGAAUUCAUGGUGUAGCGGUGAAAUGCAUAGAUACCAUGAGGAACACCGAUAGGGAAGCCAGCUCACUGGACCGUAACUGACGCUAAGGUACGAAAGCGUGGGGAGCCAACAGG
rnacentral:misc_RNA from 1 species